CUGUGAUUCAAACUUUGGCUUGUUUGCAGCGGCUUGGGAUUUGCUUUGGUUGUUCGUACCACUGGCUUGUACUUUGGAAUCUCUUUACUAUAGCAUCUUUUUGGUGGUUGCAGCGUCGCCGACAUUGGCGUUAGGCUUUUGGAAGCUUCAUUUUUUAUGGCUAGUGUACGUGAACUGCGUUUUGGCCUUUGGUAGCUGCAGCUGGUAGCAGCUUUUUGCAG
rnacentral:lncRNA from 1 species